GCCCAUCUGUCUAACGUCUCGCCUACCACGUCUCUGCAGCCUGCGCCGCCCCUCUUCCCUCCGCCUGCCUACCCGGCGAGAGGCCGCCGCCGCUGCCUGAGCGAACACGGGGCUGUGAGCCUCCUACAUUACUGACCGCUCAUCCCUGCUGCUUUGCCGCUGCCGCCGCUUCUCCAGUGCCCCAAACCCCUGCCCGUGCGACCUUCCGCCGCCGCCCAGCCACUAAUUUGUGCUUGACACCUCCUCCACCAUCCCAUACAGCCUGGAGAAUCCAAGUCCACUCAAACUGUGAGUUUCUCCCGAUUUCACUUUAGUCUGAAGAAGUGACUUUUCAGAUUUUGUUUUAGUUCUUCUCAAUCAUCUGAAUCAGCGUAUGUCUUGCUUACCAUUUGCCUGUCCUGAAUACUGAAUUGCUCAUCCUGAUUAGCAACGAGGGAGACCUCGACAGGCUCUUAAAUCUAUUCUACAUGUAGAAUCCAUCUAUUGAGAGACAAGCAUUCUUGUAUUUUCAUAGUGCUUCGUCAGUUCGUCAUUGCUGUUGGGACAAAACAUUUGGUCUUCUGAAUGCAGUGCAGUACUUGAAUUGAUAGCUAUCAAGCUAGUCAAAUUUGUGUAAUCCGUAUAAAGAUUUUGUCAUCUGCUUUAACACGGAUUCAGCACUAGGAGAACAAAGUAAUAAAGAGAGGUAAGAUUUGUAUCCUCUGGGUGUCAUUGUUUGGCAUAUAUAUAUAUCUACUCUAUUUGUCAUGUAAUUAACGUGACAGUACUUCUGGUUCAUAUAUUAAGAACCAAUCAGUGAGAUAUUUAUUUAUCUAUUUUGCUGUUCCAUAUUAUCCAGGGUUUAAAAGAACAGGGAAAAUCAGUCACAUCGCAUAUGUAUGGUAAAUAUAAAUACAGUACUAAUUAAUUAAACUUGAUAGCCCAUGCAAAUACAACAAUUGAUCAACCUUACAAAGACAUAGACGCAAAGAAUUACACGCGAACAAGGAAUUCUGCCGAGAGGCAGUUAAGUGCACCACAUCCAACACCAAGUCACUGAAGAUAGCAUUUGGAUACAUAUAUAUGUACUAUAUGCUUACGGUGAGCCUUAUGAUAUUUGGCGUGGCUGCAUCAGAGUGAAGAGCGUCUUGAAGAUACCCACAAGAACACCAAUAAUGGUGAGCACCGUAACAAUGGCCUUAGAGUUUCUGGAAACAAACUUGUGCACACUGAUCCGAACACACCUCUUGCGCUUGCAUUCAUCCAUGUCUGCCAGGAUUUUGAUGUAGCAGCGGCCAGGGGAUAUGUGUUCGACAAUUUUGUCGAAGAAUUCAAGCGUUUGCUUGUCGGUGAGUUCUGUACGCACCAAACGGUCUUUCCUUAGCUUGUGUACGUCCUCCUCCCGAUCCGUGAGCAUCGCAAGGAGAGCGAGGUACGAGCUAACAGCAGUCUUCUCAGAACCCUCCGAGAAACUUGCAGCUGUCCAUACCUCAAAAGCCGCCAUGUUGACAAGCCAGCAUGCCGUUGUCCUGUCAAGGGAUAGUGGCGCCAGGGAGAACUUGUCGUAGAAGAAUCCUUUCGUCAAUUCUACGCCGUUGAACUCUGCAGACUUGCUGGCUGUCAGCUUGAUGCCAUUUAUUUCAAGCUGACUGGCACCAAUAGGUACCGACAUUUUCAUUGGUUCAACUUGUGAGUCUCCAUCUGCUUCUUUGGAUGCCGCUAUCUUAUGAGAUCGAAGGAGGCCAAGGAGAUGUGGUGGACUGUAUCGAUGAUGAUCUGCGACAGAAGCAGAUCUGGUAUUGGACAGCAUGUGGUUGUGCUUGGAGAGGAUAUCAAAUUUUGCCCCCAUCUUUACAAUGAACUCAUCGACAUCCACCUCAUGCACAUGCCACAACUUCAUGAGGGCUUUGAGCACCGUCCAGGGCAGCUGGUUUUCUAGCAGCAUGAUGUCAUUCUCGAUGGAAGCUCGGUUGGAGACGAAAAGGUUUCGCAACGACUCAUCCACCUUAUGAAGAUGUUUGCUGGGAGUGGGGCUAGUGUGAGAACUAGGAGUGGGACUGGUGUGAGAACUAGGUAUGGAAAGCAUAUACUGCAGCAAGAAGCAAGCAUCGCAGAACAUCAUACGAACAAAGGCGGCGUCGCUGAUGCUCUGCAUUACGGGUUCGGCGUAGUAGCGGCGUGCUUGGACCGUGUCGUUGUAGAACGUUUCCCAGAUGACCUCGAAUGUGCUUCCUGUGUGCUCGAUGAAGUGGUGGGCAGCAGCGUCUUUCACCUUCUCCAUCUCCAUCAGCCGGCGGCAGCCGUGGUGGUAAGGCCCGAUGGCCACGGCCAUAGGGACGAUGUACCGAUCCCCAAGGCCUCGUAGGCCCUCAGGGAACCGAUGGAUCUUCGUUUCCACUGCGUGGAACUUGAAGUUCAACCCAAAAACUUCGGCUGCUUUGUCAAAAGAAUCCCGGAACCUGACCUCCUCCCCCGGAUCAGUAGGCGGCUGGACCUGGGAGCUACGAGUACGGGAGAGAUCUGACAUCUCUGUGGUGGAUGUCUGAGUCUGUGUGUCAAAGAUCGAGAUCGAUCGCACAAACUGGACCUGGGAGCUACUAGUACGGGAGAGAUCUGACAUCUCUGUGGUGGAUGUCUGAGUCUGUGUGUCAAAGAUCGAGAUCGAUCGCACAAAAGUGAGUAGCAGGGAUUUGGCAAUCCUGGAUUUGGAAUUGGACAAGCAAGGGCUUAGGUAAGGAAUAACAGUUCGAGAGUCAGUUCAUGUUAUUGAUGCAGUGGACACUAUAAAUAACCUCUGCAGUAUAUUCUCUUCAGUUUUUUCCAGCCUGUUUGAUCUAAAUUCUCAAUCCAGAUUUGUUCCUUUUCUUUUGCAUGAUCCCUAUGUAGGGUAUUUCCUGAUGUCCUGGCUCAAGCUAGGAAUCAACCUUGAUCAAGAUGAUGCAGGGACGCCUUAAUUACCUCAAAGCAAAUGUGUUAUACCCUACAUGUCACAUGUGCCCUUCUCCGGGUUGAGGUACGAUAUUAGCAUGCAUUUUAUCAAAGAACGAAGUAGCUGAAUCCCUAUAGAGUCAAAAUUCGGCUACGCCGCCAACCAUGCAUGCAUGAAUUAUUUAACAUUGACCUCCAAAUAUUAUAUGUGUAUCGAAGCAAAGGGCUUUUUCUAGAAGGAUAUAUCUAGAUUGUUUUUGUAACACACUUGUCUGAACUCUUUUACGAUGGAGUAAUAGCUAUGCAUAUGCACGAAAAC
rnacentral:lncRNA from 1 species